UUUCUUGACCACUCCACAUAUAUAUUAUGAUAUUAAAACUGUAACUGCUGAAUAUUCUCAGAACUAAAACUGUUGAUUUAGCGUGUACCAAACGUCAGAACUAAAACUGUUGAAUAUCCUUAGUACAUAUGGUGUAUUCAACCUAUAAAAAAUUGUAGGAAGUUGUGGUAAAUGGAUCGAUAGCCAUGUGCUGUUGUCGGCCUUGAUUUUGUUCAGAUGGUGCUGUAGGAAUGUUGAAUAAUGGACCCAACGAAGAAGUUGGAGCUGAAUAACACUCUGAUAUAUGGUUGAAAUUCUGAUUGCCUGGCAGCUCUAUGUGAUCCUAAAACAAACAUGUAGAAAAUAUUAAUUCCACAAUGAUAACAAGAGAUCUGAAGUUAGAAGAAACUAGAAUUAUUUUUUACCAUUGCUAUGGCAUGCCUUUGUGGUUGUAUUGUCGGUUGCAUCUGUACGACAUGUUGACCAACAAAUUGAUUUGUUGUGAUAUUAGAGUCAGUUUUCUUCCUUCUAUUCCUUCGUGUUUUUUCUCUAAAGCACCAAUAGGUCUUGUCGAACCUCGUAUUUCUUUCAACUUGGGUUUGAUGCCUCUUACUGCAGGUCUGUCAUUCUUGUUUUUUUUUGUCAUCUACAAAAUGAUUUUAACUGGUAACUAAAGAGUCAAAUUGAAGAAUCAUAGUUGAGUGAUAGAAACUACGUACCAUGGGGUAUAGAAGAAUUGUUCAGAUCAGAUUCAGACCUGAUUUUCAACAUUUUCUCUAUUUCUUCUGCCAAAUUCUCUGCAUUUUUGGUACAAGUAGAGUAUGCUUCAUCAAACUGUGACGCUCGAACAGCUAUUCGGUUGAAAAUUCUGCAUAGAGUGGAAUAGCGAUUUGAUAUGUUCACUUUAGGAUCUUCAUGUAUGUUGCACAUGCUGCUUAUAUGUAGGACUUUUGCAUCAACGGUCCAUCUCUUUAGUAUAUAUUUCUCGGGGACAGAUUUGAUAUUGUUGACAUCUAGUAUCUUCAGUGCAUGAGAACAUAAGAUGCCAGCAAACUCAAACUUCUUGCAACUGCAUAAAACAGUUGAUUCCAAUGAAGAAAAUCUAACAGUAUGUUCGUGAUUUUUUCCAUAGACUCUUGUUUUAUACACCUUUUCUGCACCAUCAUCACCGCAGUAGAAUAGUUCACAAUUUAAAGUCUGCAGCACUUGCUCCUCAAAUAACUUGAAUAUCGCUGGUGUAUACAUUGUUGUUACUUUCUUUAACAUUUCCACUGCUGCUUUCGGCUUUGGUGUACUUUGUGUCGCUCUGAAAUCACAUGUAACCUCUUCAUAUCUUUUAUCUCCCACUAAUCUAUCAAAGUGACCAAAGAAUGUUAGCAUAUCAUGCUUUACACUAAUAUAACCUUUUAGUUCAUUAUUCAGGCUUUCAUUUCUUUGUGUGAGCACCAUAUCUGCAGAGAAUGUGUUCCUGCCAUAGACUAGUGCCCACAAAUAUCGUUUAUCAAAAAGUCGCUGAAGCCAUUUGUUCCCUUGAAGCUUGAAUAUGGUUUUCCCCAGAGGUCUUCGAGUUACUUGGAGGAUCAGGAGCUUUAAAACUCGAUGUUGGAUUCAGAACUUCAUCAAGACCCCUCGCCUGUGCAGCAGUAGCAGAAAAUGGUGAUGGAUCCAUUGCAGCUGCCGUUGAGAUGUGUGAAUUUAGAUAUAAUAGAUGUAGUGGUGUGUUGCGGCUGAAUGUUUGUAGAAUAAAAAUAUAUACUUUAUAUAUGGCUGGUAUACAUUCUCCAGAUCUUGGCGCUAAUAGGCGGGAGUUUUUUUUUCCUUUUGGCGCUAAACAGGACUCCGUCAGGUGCAAGUAAACGGAGGUAUUUCUAGGUCUUGUGGUGGAUCAAUCACGGCCUGGUAAAGCGGUGUCUUACUUUAAUACGAUGAAUGGGUAUCGGCCACGUGGCCGGAGCAUGCAUGGGAGCACGCGUGCGGGAGCAGCCAAGCCGCGUCCACAAAUUUGAUUAUGCAAGCUAAUUAACAAUACCAUGCGGGUAGGCAGUACGUGCUGUUGUUUCAGGCUCA